UACAAAUGAUGUUUUUCUCACGAUGGUCUUCCAAGCCCUCGGGCUCUGACGAUAAUGCCUCAUGGCAUUGCUGAUGUGGCCCA